rnacentral:rRNA from 1 species
CACCUAACUAGCCUGGGUGUACUUAACUCUUUAAAAAGCUAAGCAGAGUUAGCCCUGGUUAGUAAUUGGAUGGGAGACCUCUUUAUAAAUCAAUAGUG